GAUGAACGCUGGCGGCGUGCCUAAUACAUGCAAGUCGAGCGAACAGAUGAGGAGCUUGCUCCUCUGACGUUAGCGGCGGACGGGUGAGUAACACGUGGAUAACCUACCUAUAAGACUGGGAUAACUUCGGGAAACCGGAGCUAAUACCGGAUAAUAUAUUGAACCGCAUGGUUCAAUAGUGAAAGACGGUUUUGCUGUCACUUAUAGAUGGAUCCGCGCCGCAUUAGCUAGUUGGUAGGGUAACGGCUUACCAAGGCAACGAUGCGUAGCCGACCUGAGAGGGUGAUCGGCCACACUGGAACUGACACGGUCCAGACUCCUACGGGAGGCAGCAGUAGGGAAUCUUCCGCAAUGGGCGAAAGCCUGACGGAGCAACGCCGCGUGAGUGAUGAAGGUCUUCGGAUCGUAAAACUCUGUUAUUAGGGAAGAACAAAUGUGUAAGUAACUAUGCACGUCUUGACGGUACCUAAUCAGAAAGCCACGGCUAACUACGUG
rnacentral:rRNA from 1 species